GGGGGCGUCACGGUUUCGACGGGGAUAGUUGAAGCUCGUCGCCGCGUACCGAGGUUCCUACCGACCUCGUAAAAAGGUAGGAAAAAAGUAAUCGCCAACGAUUACGAAUACGCCCUAGCCGCAUAAGACGGCUGGCGUCCUCCCGAUUUUGCCUGUCGAAUCGGGUAAGGGCGUGAUAAAGGCAGGCUGGCCGAACCUCCUUGCCCGGAGGAGGUCAGGUGAAAUUCCUACGGGCUGGCAAUCUGAACCCCCGCCUUCGGGGAGGCAGGUUGCGAGAUUUAAACGAAGGCUACGUACGUAGACGCGAGAGUGGAAUAUUCUCGGACGCGGGUUCGACUCCCGCCGCCUCCACCA
rnacentral:tmRNA from 1 species